rnacentral:rRNA from 1 species
CCCCAGCGCCACUAGUGGGAACCAGUAUUAUUGGGCCUAAAGCGUCCGUAGCAGGUCUUCUAAAUUACUUGUGAAAUCGCAUAGCUUAACUAUGCGGACUGCAGGUAGGACUGGAAGACUUGAGACCGGGAGAAGUCGAAGGUACUCAGAGGGGAGCGGUAAAAUGCGAGAAUCCUCUGAAGACCACCUGUUGCGAAGGCGUUCGACAAUAACGGGUCUGACUGUGAGGGACGAAAGCUAGGGGA